CACCGCGGUUAUACGAGAGGCCCGAGUUGACAAAUGCCGGCGUAAAAUGUGGUUAUUACAGUAUUUCACUAAAGCUAAACAUCUUCAAAGCUGUUAUAUGCUCUCGAGGGCAGGAAAUUCAUUAACGAAAGUAGCUUUAAACAUUAUGAACCACGAAAGCUAGGGAA
rnacentral:rRNA from 1 species